rnacentral:lncRNA from 1 species
AAAAAUUAUUCGAUUUUUAUAAAACUAAUACGUUCGCAUUUUACCUCGGAACCAGUUGGUUUGCUCUAUUAAAUGGAGCUGUUAUAUACAGUAUAAAAUAUUAUAAUAAUUUUGAAAAAAGACACUCAUAUAUACAAGAUGCAGUUAACAUCGCUAAAAUAUAUGUAAAUUGUGAUAAAACAGAUGACAUUAAAAUAAUAAAAGCAAAUGGAAAUAUUGAUUCAUUUAAUGAAAGGGCGAAAUGUGAAAUAGUGUUAUCUUAUAAAGGUGAAAAACUAUUUCUUAAUGUGAAUGCUAUAAAACUGAAUAAAAAAAGAAACAGUUUGGAUAAUACAUAUCUUGAUGAUGAUGAGGAUUUUAAUAAUAAGGACAUUUCUGAAUAUAUAGAAAACCCCUAUUUAAUAAAAAAAGAAAUAAAAUCAUUUUUGUUAAAUUUAAAAACUUUUUUUUUGUCUUUCGUUUCGAGUAAAGACACGAUCGGUGAUAAUCAAACAGAACUGUCUUUAAACACGAAACAUAAUGAAAAAAUAGAUAAACAUUCAAAAAUAUUAAACAUUAUUAAUAAUAACGCAAAAUGGAAAAUUAAUAAUGUUAUGUUGGUUAAGAAGGAAUUGCAUAGUGACUGUGAUAGCGGCAGUAAAAGUAGAGGGAAAAUAAUAAAUCUGCUAAAUAGCCUUUUGAACAACCUUUAUUAUUAUAAUUACAAAAUAUAUCCUAUAUAUGGAAACCCAACACAUAAUUCCUAUUAUUACAAAUAUAAUAAUAGAAAAAGGCAAAUAACAGCUACUGAAGAAAAUAUAUUAAAAGUAAUAUUAUGCACAUUGUGUGUUUCAACAGCUUUAGCAAUUAAAAGGAUAUAUAUAUAUAAAAGUUCAUAUUUAAGUUUAAAUUUUGUUAAAAAUUAUGUUUUAAAUAAUCAAAAGCUGUUUAACUUAUUAGGAAGUGAUGAUAUACAAAUUUUGAGUAUUUCAGGUUUACACGAAACAAAUUAUUUGAAUAGUAAAAUUUUUUUACAAACAAAACAAAGUCAAGGAGUUGUACAUAUAACAGCUACAAAAAAUAAACAUGAUAAAACGUUUUUUGUUUUAUGUGCUAAACUUUUAUUAAAAAAUGAAACGAUCCAAUUGGAUAAAAGCUAAAACAAGCUCAGUAAGGAAAUAUGUAUAAACAGUUUCAUUAAUUGAUACAAAAUGGGAGUGGAAUAACGUUGGCUCGGUAGGCAUAUAUGUGUAGUAACGUAUAUAUUAGUCUGUAACAUGUAUAAAAAAGUACACAUUUGUUCACGAGUUAAGCUUUAUUCGUUCAUUUAUCCGUUGAAUUGUUUUUUUUUUUUUUUUUUUACUAUUUUAUCAUUUCAACAGAG